AUUGAACGCUGGCGGCAGGCUUAACACAUGCAAGUCGAGCGGGGGAAGGUAGCUUGCUACCGGACCUAGCGGCGGACGGGUGAGUAAUGCUUAGGAAUCCGCCUAUUAGUGGGGAACAACAUCUCGAAAGGGAUGCUAAUACCGCAUACGUCCUACGGGAGAAAGCAGGGGAUCUUCGGACCUUGCGCUAAUAGAUGAGCCUAAGUCGGAGUAGCUAGUUGGUGGGGUAAAGGCCUACCAAGGCGACGAUCUGUAGCGGGUCUGAGAGGAUGAUCCGCCACACUGGGACUGAGACACGGCCCAGACUCCUACGGGAGGCAGCAGUGGGGAAUAUUGGACAAUGGGGGGAACCCUGAUCCAGCCAUGCCGCGUGUGUGAAGAAGGCCUUAUGGUUGUAAAGCACUUUAAGCGAGGAGGAGGCUACUUUAGUUAAUACCUAGAGAUAGUGGACGUUACUCGCAGAAUAAGCACCGGCUAACUCUGUGCCAGCCGCCGCAGUAA
rnacentral:rRNA from 1 species